AGGUAAAUCAGGGAUUUCCUCUUGGUUUGGAUCCUUUGCUGUUUUCUUCUUCAUGCACAGACAGGCACCAAUUUGAAGCUUAAUGACAGCAGAAACAGAGAACAACUACUCCACAGGUCACAUGGCAUUCCCCAGAAGAAAUGGAUUUAGAAACAGCUGGCACCCUCCGCCUCAGACUAUGGAUUUAUUUUGCUUCUGUAAAUGGCUAUCUCAUCUUCCUGUGAUCACGUAUUAAGCGGGCCAGCUUUUGACUGGGAAUAUCACCUUUACCAACUAAGAGUAUUUUUAAUACAGUGCUGAAGAGCCAGCUGAACUGGCUUUGUAGAUCAUCCUCAGGAAACUGACGGUCAGGCCUCCUGUAUGACACCAGGGAGCUGAGGCUUUAUGGAUUGGAUCACUGCACCCAAUGAGACACACCUGCUGCCUGUCGAACCAACCCUCUUCCUAGCUCCUCCAUAAUUCCUUUUUUUCCUGCACGUGAUUACAGUGAGAUGCUAGAUCCCUCAUUCAGCUACCUGCUGCCUGUUGACCAGCUCCUCUUCCUCUCCCCCGGCCCUGGUUCUUCUUCCAAGCUAUUAGGUGAAAGCAAAAGUAAUUGCGGUUUUUGCAUUGUUGAAAUUUGCCAUUUGAUAUUGGGAUACAUUUUUAAAUAAAUGUGGUUAUGUUAUAC
rnacentral:lncRNA from 1 species